CUCCUGGGCGGGUUCUCUCUUGCUGCCGCCAGUACCCUGCCCCUCUCGUCCUCCUGGGUAGCCUGGGAGGAAUGGCAGAAGAAAGCAGUGAAGCCAGGUAGCAGUAGCCCGGCCACCCCACCAGGCUCUGCUGUAGGCUGGGCUCUCAAGGCAGCUGCUCCAGGAGGGGCCCCCUAGGAAGGGACUGCCACACUCCUGGGAGCGUUCCUGGCCCCCUCCAGUGCAAAUGACCCUGGGCCCCAAGGCUCCGAACACCCGCCCCUCUGCUCCAGGCUAGCUUGGCUGAGCCCGAUGCUUCUCAAGGUGAGGAGGGCGUCCUUGAAGCCUCCGGCCACCCCACACCAAGCCUGGCUCCGGCCCCCCACCCUGCUGCAGGGCCCGAGGACGUCUCCCCAGGGGUCCCCACCUCGGUCUCCUUGGGGGGACUGUGCUGAGCCCAGCUGCCUCUGUGAGAUGAAGAUAAGAAGGCGAAGACAUGAAGGGCCUGCCUGGGGGCAGUCUGGCUUUCUUGCA
rnacentral:lncRNA from 1 species